CUCCUGGUUCCUCGAUCUCCCCAGCCCCGCGCGGAGGGCGGCGGGUGUCGCGCCGGAGGUGGCGGUGUCCCGCGUGCGCUUUCGGCCCGCUCUCCCUGGACAGGACACCGCUCAGUGAAGUCGUCAGGGCCCAGCUACCUCCGGGCGCCGUGACCUUUUCUUCUCGGAGGCCCUGCGGUUCCAUCAGUGCCGGGUGUCCCAGACGUGACCCGCCCCCGCCCUCGCGACUGGCUUUCGGAAUUGUGCGCCCCGCUUUUGUCAGGAUUACCUCCCGUUUCUCCUUGGAAACUUUGACGUCCACAAUUGAUGCCCUUUUCCCCCUGUACUUGCUCCCGUCAGUUGACAGGUGCCAUCGAUUCUACGUCCGCAGUAAUUGUGGCAUCCAGCCACUCUGCGUACACACUGCCCGCACCUCCUCGAGGGUCUCGUCCCCUCAACGGAGCAAGCGCAGUACUUUUCCUCUAGCGUCACUCACCUGCCAACCCUGUAGUCCUUUUCAAGCACAGCUGUGAUCAGAAAUCGUCAUGGGCUCCCUGUUGCCUGUAGGUUAAGGACCUAAUUUGUGAACUUGGAUGCAAAACGAACGAUUUUCUGCUGUUCGCCUUUCCUCCUCCCUUGUCGAUGGGAAACCAGACCGUAUGAAUCUCUCCCGACCUCCCUUUACCUUCUAAGGAUUGCCCCUGGCUCUUUCUCCUUAGGAAUACUCUUCCUUCCCUAUCUUCGUACACUGUUGAAAUUCUGCCCGUUGUUUAAAGCCACAUAGUGACCUCGCCGUCUAGAAAUAAAUUUCCUUUCUUUGGAAUGUC